AGUAACACGUGAGUAACCUGCCCCUGACUCUGGGAUAAGCCUUGGAAACGAGGUCUAAUACCGGAUAUGUGACGUUCAGGCAUCUGAUGCGUCUGGAAAGAUUUAUCGGUCAGGGAUGGACUCGCGGCCUAUCAGCUUGUUGGUGGGGUAACGGCCUACCAAGGCGACGACGGGUAGCCGGCCUGAGAGGGCGACCGGCCACACUGGGACUGAGACACGGCCCAGACUCCUACGGGAGGCAGCAGUGGGGAAUAUUGCACAAUGGGCGCAAGCCUGAUGCAGCGACGCCGCGUGAGGGAUGAAGGCCUUCGGGUUGUAAACCUCUUUCAGCAGGAAGAAGCGCAAGUGACGGUACCUGCAGAAGAAGCGCCGGCUAACUACGUGCCAGCAGCCGCGGUAAUACGUAGGGCGCAAGCGUUGUCCGGAAUUAU
rnacentral:rRNA from 1 species